rnacentral:rRNA from 1 species
UUGUUUAUCAAAAACAUGUCUUAAUGAAUUGUUUAUAUAUUAAGUCAGGCCUGCUCAAUGAUUAAUUUUUAAUUAAAUAGCCGCAGUAUAUUGACUGUGCGAAGGUAGCAUAAUCAUUUGUCUUUUAAUUGGAGGCUUGAAUGAAUGGUUUAAUGAGAAAGUUGCUUUCUUUAUAAUAAUAGUUAAAUUUAAUUUUUAAGUUAAAAAGCUUAAAUAUAUAAAUGGGACGAGAAGACCCUAUAGAAUUUUAUUACUUAAUAAUAAUUUAUUUAUUUGUAAAUGAUUUUUAUUUUAUAUAUUAAGUAAAUUUGUUGGGGUGACAGUGAGAUUUUUUAAACUCUCAUAAAUUACUUUUUAUUUAUUUAUAUUUUAAAGAUCCUAUUUUAUGGAUACUUAGAUUAAAUUACCUUAGGGAUAACAGCGUAAUUCUUUUGGAGAGUUCUUAUCAAUAAAGGAGAUUGCGACCUCGAUGUUGGAUUAAAAUUAGAUUUAAGUGCAGAAGCUUAAUUUCUAGGUCUGUUCGACCUUUAAAUUUUUACAUGAUCUGAGUUCAAACCGGAGAA